CUACGGGACGCUGCAGUGGGGAAUAUUGGACAAUGGGGGAAACCCUGAUCCAGCAAUGCCGCGUGUGUGAAGAAGGCCUGCGGGUUGUAAAGCACUUUCGGUUGGGAGGACUGCUUCUAGCACUAAUAUUGUUGGAAGUUGACGUUACCUUCAGAAGAAGCACCGGCUAACUCCGUGCCAGCAGCCGCGGUAAUACGGAGGGUGCAAGCGUUAAUCGGAAUUACUGGGCGCAAAGCGCGCGUAGGCGGCUAGAUCAGUCGGGUGUGAAAGCCCCGGGCUUAACCUGGGAACUGCAUCCGAUACUGUCUAGCUUGAGUACAGGAGAGGAGAGUGGAAUUCCACAUGUAGCGGUGAAAUGCGUAGAUAUGUGGAGGAACACCAAUGGCGAAGGCAGCUCUCUGGCCUGAUACUGACGCUGAGGUGCGAAAGCGUGGGGAGCAAUCAGGAUUAGAUACCCUGGUAGUC
rnacentral:rRNA from 1 species